UACGUAGGGUGCGAGCGUUGUCCGGAAUUACUGGGCGUAAAGAGCUCGUAGGUGGUUUGUCGCGUUGUCCGUGAAAACUCACAACUCAAUUGUGGGCGUGCGGGCGAUACGGGCAGACUGGAGUACUGCAGGGGAGACUGGAAUUCCUGGUGUAGCGGUGGAAUGCGCAGAUAUCAGGAGGAACACCGGUGGCGAAGGCGGGUCUCUGGGCCGAUAUUGACGCUGAGGAGCGAAAGCGUGGGGAGCGAACAGG
rnacentral:rRNA from 1 species